rnacentral:rRNA from 1 species
GAUGAACGCUGGCGGCGUGCCUAAUACAUGCAAGUCGAACGCUUCACUUCGGUGAAGAGUGGCGAACGGGUGAGUAAUACAUAAGUAACCUGGCAUCUACAGGGGGACAACUGAUGGAAACGUCAGCUAAGACCGCAUAGGUGUAGAGAUCGCAUGAACUCUAUAUGAAAAGUGCUACGGGACUGGUAGAUGAUGGACUUAUGGCGCAUUAGCUGGUUGGUAGGGUAACGGCCUACCAAGGCGACGAUGCGUAGCCGACCUGAGAGGGUGACCGGCCACACUGGGACUGAGACACGGCCCAGACUCCUACGGGAGGCAGCAGUAGGGAAUUUUCGGCAAUGGGGGAAACCCUGACCGAGCAACGCCGCGUGAAGGAAGAAGUAAUUCGUUAUGUAAACUUCUGUCAUAGAGGAAGAACGGUGGAUAUAGGGAAUGAUAUCCAAGUGACGGUACUUGAGGAGGAAGCCACGGCUAACUACGUGCCAGCAGCCGCGGUAA